rnacentral:rRNA from 1 species
GACGAACGCUGGCGGCGUGCUUAACACAUGCAAGUCGAACGGAAAGGCCUGUCCUUCCUUGUGUUGGACGGGUACUCGAGUGGCGAACGGGUGAGUAACACGUGAGUGAUCUGCCCCCAACUUGGGUAUAAGCCUGGGAAACUGGGUCUAAUUCCCGAUAGGACUGCAGGGUGGUGCCUGUGGUGGAAAACGAUUUUCUAGUGGUUGGGGAUGAGCUCGCGGCCUAUCAGCUUGUUGGUGGGGUAAUGUCCUACCAAGGCGGCGACGGGUAGCCGGCCUGGGAGGGUGGACGGCCACAUUGGGACUGAGAUACGGCCCAGACUCCUACGGGAGGCAGCAGUGGGGAAGAAUGCACAAUGGGCGGAAGCCUGAUGCAGCGACGCCGCGUGGGGGAUGACGGCCUUCGGGUUGUAAACUCCUUUCGACCGCGAGGAAGCCGCCUGGUUGGAAGGGUGGUGACGGUAGUGGUAGAAGAAGCACCGGCUAACUACGUG